UACGAAGGGUGCAAGCGUUACUCGGAAUUACUGGGCGUAAAGCGUGCGUAGGUGGUUUUUUAAGUCCGUUGUGAAAGCCCUGGGCUCAACCUGGGAAUGGCAGUGGAUACUGUCGGGCUAGAGUACGGAAGAGGCGAGUGGAAUUCCUGGUGUAGCGGUGAAAUGCGCAGACAUCAGGAGGAACACCAGUGGCGAAAGCGGCACCCUGGCAUUAGCCUGACGCUCAUGUGCGAAAGCGUGGGGAGCGAACGGG
rnacentral:rRNA from 1 species